GUCCAUGGUCCAUGCCACCCUGAACAAGCCUGAUGUCUGAUCUCCGAAGCUAAGCAAGGUCAGGACUGGUUAGUACUUGAAUGGGAGAACACCUAGGAAGACCAGGUGCUGUAGGCA
rnacentral:rRNA from 1 species